CUUGAAUUGCAUGAUUUGGAUUAGGUAAUAAUUUAGUCUGUUUUUCACAUUGACCACAAAAUUGUGCCUAGAUGAGGUAUUACAUUUAGAAGUAGAUUAGAAGCUUUAAGAUAAGAGUAAUUCUGUGUAUUAUAAUUCUGAAAUUAUCUGGCUAAAUAAGGAUAAGCAAAUGUAUCAUUUUUUUUCUGAAUAUAUGUUCAUUAGGGAAAAUUUAGAAAAUACAAGUAAGCAAAAAAGAAAGGUUAUAAAUCACACCCAUAAUCCUUCUAUGCAGAGAUAACCACCUUUAAUUCAUAAAUAAUUGUCUUCCCAGAUUUUUUCUAGUAAAAUAUAAAUAUGAAAUUUCUUUUUAACAAAAAGAGGACUGAUAUUGAAGACCAAACCCACUGUACUUUCCUGUCCCUGUGAUAAACAAUUCUGGGACAAAGCAUAUUGCUCUGUUUCUGUGCCAUAUAAUAUUGAGACCAAAGAAAAAUAACUUUUCACUUGCUCCAAGAAAUAUUUGCUUACUUAUCAAGAUCAGCAGCUUGCUCACAAAUGUGACCAUGCCCACCAAUCCAAAGCUGUUAUGUCACAAACUCUGCCCAGCCCCAACCAGCUCCCUGCCUUUCAAGACCUGCCUUGUAAUCACUAGAUUAUGGCUUGAACUCUGUAAAUAUCCUCCCUUGAAUUCCUCCUUCUGACAUACUACUAAUACUCUGUCAAGAAGGUGUUCUUAUUUGAAAUAAAUCUAGUGAAUGCUACUUUUCUAGCAGUCUUUUUAGGAAUCAUUAGCCAUUGUCCUCUACAUACUAUUUCAAAAUGGGAUUUUUUUUUCGUCCUGUGUCAUGAACUUCUAUGCCACUUUUCAUCUCUAACAUCAUUCUUAAGUCUUAUAAUUCAUUAAACCAGUUACCUUUUAUUGGACUUUUAGGGUCUUUGCAAUUUUAUAUUCUUAUAAUUGAUACUAUAAUGAAGUAUCAAUAAUUUAGAGUUUUCAUUAUCUCCACUUUCCCCCUUGGAAUAGAUUUCUGGAGGUGAAAUUACUAAGUCAAAAGGUAUGCAGAUUUCAAGACUCCUGAUAAAUAUUGCUAAAUUUGCCUCCAGAUCAUUCCAACCCACUUUCUUGCCGGCAGAAUAUGAGUGCUUAUGUUUUCAUAUCAUUGCCAGUAUUGGAUUUUAGCUCUUUAAAUUCUUUUCAAUUUGACUUGUGAAGAGAGACAUGGUUGUCUUAUUUACCAACUUGCUGAAGACUUUUUCAAAAUAUACAGUUCCACUUUCUUUGCUGUCUUUUGGUUCUCUCUCUCUCUCUCUCCCUCCCUCCCUCCCUCCCUCUUACAUAUGCCAGUUUCCUUCCUUGCAGGUUAGGGCUAUUGUAAGUUCACGAGGCUAUUGAAUGGAAUGCAUUGGAUAUGAACCCUCUGCAUGGCAGUUCUUGUUUCCCCUUGGACUCCCUGGUUAUUUUGAAACAGAAGCCAAAACUCAGAAUUCCUUCUUUAACUAAAACAUGAGAAAAGUAAAAAGAAAAAAAAAAUUCGUUACUGUAGGCCACAUAAAGAUUGCCAUCCUAGACCAAACCAAUGUAUAUAUCCCCUCCCAGUAGUUUCAAGAGCAUUAG
rnacentral:lncRNA from 1 species